GAUACGUAUAUUGAACAUUUGAUUUAUAUAUGAUAUUAUGUUGAUUAGUGUGUGUUUGAAUUUUGAUUUUUAUCGAGACGAUAAAAUUCAAAGCAGGGGAGUAUGUGGGCAGAUUUAAAAUUUACAAUAUCUAAUUAUUUACCAAGUUACGCUUUGUUCUUGUGCGCAGGUGGAUUGAGUUGGUGAACACUUUCUUUACUUUUCUAUUGGCCGUUGUUCCCAUUGGCUAGUAUUAUCGAAUCAGAUCAUUUCUAUUAUUAUAAAUCCCGGUUACUUUUGAUUUUAUUUCACUGUGGGUCCGGCGAUUUUGUACACCAACACCUCGCACAAGGUAUUUAUUGUAUUAAUUUAUAUGACAUAACUUUUCUUAGUAUCUACAUAAAGUAAACUAAGAUUAUAAUAAAGUUUAAAGCUUUAUUUAAACCGUAACAAAUUAUUGUGUAUAAAUUGUAUAUAUAUUUAUAUGUGUUUAUAUUUAUUUACAGAAUCACCUUUUAGUACAUAUAAAACAUCCUGAACACAG
rnacentral:sRNA from 1 species